UACGUAGGGGCAAGCGUUGUCCGGAAUCAUUGGGCGUAAAGCGCGUGUAGGCGGUUCGGUAAGUCUGCUGUGAAAGUCCAGGGCUCAACCCUGGGAUGCCGGUGGAUACUGUCGGACUAGAGUACGGAAGAGGCGAGUGGAAUUCCCGGUGUAGCGGUGAAAUGCGCAGAUAUCAGGAGGAACACCGGUGGCGAAGGCGGUUCUCUGGGCAUUACCUG
rnacentral:rRNA from 1 species